UAACAAUUGUUCUUUGUCUGAAAAGUUGAAACAGGUGUAACCCAAGACAACCGUGCAAGAAGCAGGUGUCGCCCAAAGAAGAAGGUACAUGGGUACAAGAAAUAUUUUGGCAAUAAGGAGUUCACUUGAAAGGUAAGUUUCCACGAAACUCCCUUUUUAUCUUCUACUAAAACAAGAAAAAAAAAAGAGGUCGCUUAGUAUUCUCGAACUUUGUCCCCAGCCAAUCAGCAUUAGGGUUUUAAACCCUAAACUGAAUUUUCCUUUUAAUCAGCAUUAGGGUUUUAAAACCCUAAACUGAAUUUUUCCUUUAGUCAGCAUUAGGGUUUUAAACCCUAAACUGAACUUUUCCCAUUCAGCCAACAUUAGGGUUUUGAACCCUAAACUGAGCUUUUCCAUGCAAUCAGCAUUAGGGUUUUAAACCCCUAAACUGAACUUUUCCAUUUAGUCAGCAUUAGGGUUUUAAACCCUAAACUGAACUUUUUCAUUCAGCCAGCAUUAGGGUUUUAAACCCUAAACUGAACUUUUUUCCUUUCAGCCAGCAUUAGGGUUUUAAACCCUAAACUGAGCUUUUCCAUGCAAUCAACAUUAGGGGUUUAAACCUUAAACUGAAUUUUUCCUUUAGUAAGCAUUAGGGUUUUAAACCCUAAACUGAACUUUUUUUCCAUUCAGCCAGCAUUAGGGUUUUAAACCUUAAACUGAGCUUUUCCAUGCAAUCAGCAUUAGGGUUUUAAACCUUUAGUCAGCAUUAGGGUUUUAAACCCUAAACUGAAUUUUUUUCCAUUCAGCCAGCAUUAGGGUUUUAAACCCUAAACUGAGCUUUUCCAUGCAAUCAACAUUAGGGUUUUAAACCCUAAACUGAAUUUUUCCUUUAGUCAGCAUUAGGGUUUUAAACCCUAAACUGAACUUUUUUCCAUUCAGCCAGCAUUAGGGUUUUAAACCCUAAACUGAGCUUUUCCAUGCAAUCAGCAUUAGGGUUUUAAAC
rnacentral:lncRNA from 1 species